rnacentral:rRNA from 1 species
AGGACGAACGCUGGCGGCGUGCCUAACACAUGCAAGUCGAACGAGGUCCAUCCGGUAGCAAUACUGGUGAAGAUCAAGUGGCGAACGGGUGAGUAGCACGUGAGCAACCUGCCCCGAAGACCGGGACAACACCGGGAAACCGGUGCUAAUACCGGAUAUCCCCACCGAGUCGCAUGGCUUGGUGAGGAAAUGGAUUCCGCUUCGGGAGGGGCUCGCGGCCUAUCAGCUUGUUGGUGAGGUAAUGGCUCACCAAGGCUUCGACGGGUAGCUGGUCUGAGAGGACGAUCAGCCACACUGGGACUGAGACACGGCCCAGACUCCUACGGGAGGCAGCAGUGGGGAAUCUUGCACAAUGGGCGGAAGCCUGAUGCAGCAACGCCGCGUGAGGGACGAAGGCUUUCUGAGUUGUAAACCUCUUUCAGCAGGGACGAUUGUGACGGUACCUGCAGAAGAAGCCCCGGCAACUACGUGCCAGCAGCCGCGGUAAU